rnacentral:sRNA from 1 species
GGAAGGAUAAGAAGCUUCGACCAGGGUUCGAUUCGAGCGUAGCGAGAAAGCGUUGCCGCAGGCAACGACCCGAAGGGCGAAGCGCGAAGCGCUGAGUAAUCCUUCCCCCACCACCA